AUUGAACGCUGGCGGCAUGCUUUACACAUGCAAGUCGAACGGCAGCGCGGGGCAACCUGGCGGCGAGUGGCGAACGGGUGAGUAAUAUAUCGGAACGUACCCAGAAGUGGGGGAUAACGUAGCGAAAGUUACGCUAAUACCGCAUACGAUCUACGGAUGAAAGUAGGGGACCGCAAGGCCUUAUGCUUUUGGAGCGGCCGAUAUCUGAUUAGCUAGUUGGUGAGGUAAAGGCUCACCAAGGCGACGAUCAGUAGCUGGUCUGAGAGGACGACCAGCCACAGGGGAACGGCGACACGGUCCAGAGCCGGAGGGGAGGAAGCAGUGGGGAAGAUUGGACAGGGGGGGGAAGCAGGAUGGAGCAAUGCGGCGGGGGUGAAGAAGGUCUACGGCUUGUAAAGAAGGUUGGGGGGGGAGAAAGUGCGGGAAGGUAAUAACUUGAGGUAUUGACGGUACCAACAGAAUAAGCACCGGCUAACUUCGUG
rnacentral:rRNA from 1 species